GCAAACUAAAACCCUAAAACUCGCCUCCGCCUCUCUUCGUUCUUUUCUUCCAGAGCAAACUCUGUGUCUGCCUCUCCACCACUUACACAUCUCUGUUCAAGUUUUACGGUGUGAUUCUAUUCAAUAGAUCAACCUGGAAGAUUUGUUCUGCAUAGGACUAGGAGAGAUAAAUGCUAAGUCAAAUUAAAACCAUUAAUCUGUGCUGUAGAAGAAUUACUUUCAUCAACACGCGAAAGAUUUUGUAAUCCGAAGCUUAUUUUUUGUCACAUACCAUUUUUUUUAACGUGCAUCAUUGAAUAUAAAGUACCUAGAAACUGAUGUAUUAUGGUUACAUUAAAUUUACCCAUGUGCGAGAAAUCCUUCAAUUUUAAUGAACUUGAUUGUUGUGCUUUUGUUUGGUGAUAUUGGUGCAGUUUAGCAUCGUGUUUGUUGUGUAUGAAGUAUGAAGAAAGGUGCAAUGAUGGGUACAGAGGAGUAACAAAAAAUGACAACGCAGCAACGGUAUCACGGUUCAAUGAUAGUCCUAUAGUGCCUGUGGAAGAUAGUAAUCAAACAAUAAAGAGUCACUCUAACCUUUUCUUUUUGCUUUAUAAUAGCCAUUGUUGUUUUUCCAUUUAUAUUUUUUUCUUUUUGCUUUAUAAUAGCCAUUGUUGAUUUUCUAUUUUUUCGUGUUGAAGAAAAUGUAGGUUUAAAGUGGUUGAUAAACAGCAAAAAAAAAACAGCCAAAUGCAAAACACAAUAGAAUUGGCUAAAAAUAAGAGCUCCUGACAUCAAACUAAACUGAGAAAUCAGUGGUGUGCUAUUGAGAAAUUUUAUGUUGCUUUGAUGAAUAUGCAAAAAAAUUAUCCAUCAUAUCCUUUUUAUGUCUCUAUUGGCAUUCAGUCUUCCAUGGGUAAGUCAGCACCAAAUGGGUAGCGGUAGCUUUCAUUUUUCUAUGGAUCAUAGGAUCAUGGGUACUGCAAAUUGAAUGGAAGAGAGUGGCUUGAAGUUGGUUUUUCCAGGCCUGUGGUGACAACUUUGGUGGUUAGCAGCAAACAAUCUUGCUAGCCAGUGCUAAAUUCUUUGAACUUGCACGAUAAUGACAAUAUCUUGCUCGACAUAACUUCAAAAGACAAAGAAGGAUUAAGAAAGGUUAGCCUAAUAUAUCCUGUAAGAAUCACAGAUGACUUCAAAAGCGUAUAAAAGGUACUUGGGAUUUAACCAUCUAAUUAUCCUUUACUUGUAAUACUACUAUAAUGCAUACUUAGCAACAAUUUUAUAGUUAAAUUAAUUAGACAUGUGAAAUCUAAAUUGGAUGUAUAUAAGUGAAUGGUUAUACCAGACAAUUUUUUUGAAAGGUAAUAACGAUGGGAAUCAUUGUGAUGCGUUGUUAGAUAGUAAUUCCUUGCUAUCUUAGCUCAAAUGAUAGAGGCCUUCAUCCAUAUGGCAUUUAAGUUUAGUCUUUGUGCAAGGGCUGCUGCAAAUACUAAGUAAAACUCUGUAUACAUUUAAAUUUAUGUUUCGGUCGAUGCUAUAUACUGCAAGUGUUUGCAGGCUCGGGAAAAUGUUUGCGCAUUAAUCUGAACUUAAGAUUUGGGUGCUUAUUCCUAUGCUGUUGUAGGUGUUCGUGGAUAAAAACAAUGACGACAUGCUUACCUUAGCUAGAAUAUUGCAGCAAGGUGGCUCUCGAUGAUUUAGAAA